AGUCAGAGAAGAAGCGCGAUGGAAUACAGUCGUAUUUGUUCAUUUCUUUGAAGCUGUUGAAAAAAGGCGUUCAAGAAGUCAGAAAAGACGCAGACGACCGGCAAAGAGUUAAGGCAUUGUGGAACUUUUUCAACGUACAUGCUGACGAAAAAAGACGUUCACGAACUCGGAAAAGACGUAGAGGACCCAGUAAAGAAAUACCUACUAACGCCACAGCGGAACUUUUCGUUUUCGCUUUUCGUUGUACAAGAGUGAAAGGCGUAACGCUGUGUAUUCGUUGUCAUUUUGCGAUUUCAACAAUUGAAGUAUCGGAUUCCAGUAUUUGCAAAUACUUUGUAGCAUUGGAUUCCAUGGUUAGGAAAUUAUUUGGUCAUAU